rnacentral:rRNA from 1 species
UACGUAGGGUGCGAGCGUUAAUCGGAAUUACUGGGCGUAAAGCGUGCGCAGGCGGUUUUGUAAGCCAGGUGUGAAAGCCCCGGGCUUAACCUGGGAAUGGCAUUUGGGACUGCAAGGCUUGAGUGCGGCAGAGGAGACUGGAAUUCCGCGUGUAGCAGUGAAAUGCGUAGAUAUGCGGAGGAACACCGAUGGCGAAGGCAAUCCCCUGGGCCUGCACUGACGCUCAUGCACGAAAGCGUGGGGAGCAAACAGG